AGAGUUUGAUUCUGGCUCAGGACGAACGCUGGCGGCGCGCCUAACACAUGCAAGUCGAACGAGCGAGAGAGAGCUUGCUUUCUCGAGCGAGUGGCGAACGGGUGAGUAACGCGUGAGGAACCUGCCUCAAAGAGGGGGACAACAGUUGGAAACGACUGCUAAUACCGCAUAAGCCCACGGGUCGGCAUCGACCAGAGGGAAAAGGAGCAAUCCGCUUUGAGAUGGCCUCGCGUCCGAUUAGCUAGUUGGUGAGGUAACGGCCCACCAAGGCAACGAUCGGUAGCCGGACUGAGAGGUUGAACGGCCACAUUGGGACUGAGACACGGCCCAGACUCCUACGGGAGGCAGCAGUGGGGAAUAUUGCACAAUGGGGGAAACCCUGAUGCAGCGACGCCGCGUGGAGGAAGAAGGUCUUCGGAUUGUAAACUCCUGUUGUUGGGGAAGAUAAUGACGGUACCCAACAAGGAAGUGACGGCUAACUACGUGCCAGCAGCCGCGGUAAAACGUAGGUCACAAGCGUUGUCCGGAAUUACUGGGUGUAAAGGGAGCGCAGGCGGGAAGACAAGUUGGAAGUGAAAUCUAUGGGCUCAACCCAUAAACUGCUUUCAAAACUGUUUUUCUUGAGUAGUGCAGAGGUAGGCGGAAUUCCCGGUGUAGCGGUGGAAUGCGUAGAUAUCGGGAGGAACACCAGUGGCGAAGGCGGCCUACUGGGCACCAACUGACGCUGAGGCUCGAAAGUGUGGGUAGCAAACAGGAUUAGAUACCCUGGUAGUCCACACCGUAAACGAUGAUUACUAGGUGUUGGAGGAUUGACCCCCUCAGUGCCGCAGCUAACACAAUAAGUAAUCCACCUGGGGAGUACGACCGCAAGGUUGAAACUCAAAGGAAUUGACGGGGGCCCGCACAAGCAGUGGAGUAUGUGGUUUAAUUCGACGCAACGCGAAGAACCUUACCAAGUCUUGACAUCCCUUGACAGGCAUAGAAAUAUGUUUUCUCUUCGGAGCAAGGAGACAGGUGGUGCAUGGUUGUCGUCAGCUCGUGUCGUGAGAUGUUGGGUUAAGUCCCGCAACGAGCGCAACCCUUAUGGUCAGUUACUACGCAAGAGGACUCUGGCCAGACUGCCGUUGACAAAACGGAGGAAGGUGGGGAGGACGUCAAAUCAUCAUGCCCUUUAUGACUUGGGCUACACACGUACUACAAUGGCGUUAAACAAAGAGAAGCAAGACCGCGAGGUGGAGCAAAACUCAGAAACAACGUCCCAGUUCGGACUGCAGGCUGCAACUCGCCUGCACGAAGUCGGAAUUGCUAGUAAUCGUGGAUCAGCAUGCCACGGUGAAUAAAAGGCCGGGCCUUGCACUCUCCGCCCGUCA
rnacentral:rRNA from 1 species